rnacentral:snRNA from 1 species
AUCGCUUCUCGGCCUUUUGGCUAAGAUCAUGUGUAAUAUCUGUUCUUUUCAGCUUAAUAUCUGAAACGCUGCUCAUUGAGUAGCUUCGAGUAUUAAACUGAACUUGGGUUAUGGAACACGAGCUUGCUCCGUCCUGGCCACGGGUUGACCUGGUAUUGCAGUACAUUCAGGAGCAGCCCACAUCCU